rfam:Camelus ferus unplaced genomic scaffold scaffold597, whole genome shotgun sequence.
GAGGGUAUAGCUCAAGUGGAAGAGUGAAUGCUUAGCAUACACAAGGUCCUGGGUUCAAUCCCCAGUACCUCCU